GCCUACUGACCAGGGAAAGCUCAGUCGGUAGAGCAUGAGACUCUUCAUCUCAGGGUUGUGGUUCGAGCCCUACAUUGGGCA